rnacentral:rRNA from 1 species
GACGAACGCUGGCGGCGUGCUUAACACAUGCAAGUCGAACGGAAAGGCCCUGCUUUUGCGUCGUGGUCGAGUGGGGAGGGCGUGAGUAACACGUGAGUACCAUCCACUUGACUUUCGGAUAACAUAAGGAAACUCGGGCUAGUACCGGAUAGGAGCUCCUGCUGCGAAGGGGGGGGUGGAAAGUUUCGGCGGUCGGGGCAGUUCGCGCGGGUUAUGGGCUGGCUGGUGAGGUAGUGACUUACCAAGCUUUUGAAGGGUAGCCGGCCUGAGAGGGUAGCCGGCGACAUUGGGACUCAGAGACGCGCCAGACACCUACGCGAGGCAGCAGUGGGGAAUAUUGCGGAAUGGGCGCACGCCUGCGAUGCAGACGUCGCGUGCGGGAUAACGGGCUUCCGGUUGUAAACCGCUUUCUCCUGUGACGUAGCGAUAGUGACGGUACUGGAUAAAGAAGCCCCGGCUAACUACGUG